rnacentral:rRNA from 1 species
AUGGACAAGCUGUCGGCGCAGAUGCUGGGGAGCAUCUUCCUCUGCCUCCCCGACCCAGCCGACCUCGGCCACACCUCGGUCGCCUGCAAGUCCUUCUGCGACCUCAUCGCUGACAGCUACUUCCGCCGGCAACACCACAAACGCCACACCUCGCCCCUCCUGGGCUUUGUCGGCAAAUUCGGCGACUUCCACCGCGCCAUCUCGCCGCACCCCUCCGCGCCGGCAGCCAAGGCCGUCGACAACGCCUGCGACUUCUCCUUCUCCUUCCCCCCGAGGACGGAGAGCAUCAUCUAUGGCAUCGUGGACAUCCGCGAGGGUCGCGUCCUCCUCGCCACAGUGAAUGAGGUGUUUGGUGAGGAGUACGUGGUGUGCUACCCCUUGCACCGCACGUAUGUGGUUCUCCCCAAACUCACCGACGCUGUGACAUCCAAAAGAAACAUUUUCUUAGCCCCACCGAUGCCGGAAACUGUUGUUGACAAGGAUGGGUAG